CCUACGGGAGGCAGCAGUGAGGAAUAUUGGUCAAUGGGCGCGAGCCUGAACCAGCCAAGUCGCGUGAGGGAAGACGGCCCUACGGGUUGUAAACCUCUUUUGUCGGGGAGCAACGGGCGCCACGUGUGGCGCCACUGAGAGUACCCGGAGAAAAGGCAUCGGCUAACUCCGUGCCAGCAGCCGCGGUAAUACGGAGGAUGCGAGCGUUAUCCGGAUUUAUUGGGUUUAAAGGGUGCGUAGGCGGAGUGUAAAGUCAGUGGUCAAAUUGAGGGGCUCAACCCCUUCCCGCCGUUGAAACUGGCGGUCUUGAGUGGGAGAGAAGUAUGCGGAAUGCGUGGUGUAGCGGUGAAAUGCAUAGAUAUCACGCAGAACCCCGAUUGCGAAGGCAGCAUGCCGGCUUCCUACUGACGCUGAAGCACGAAAGCGUGGGGAUCGAACAGGAUUAGAUACCCUUGUAGUC
rnacentral:rRNA from 1 species